rnacentral:lncRNA from 1 species
CCUCUCCAUGCCAAUAAAUUUUUUUCUCUUUAUAUGUGAGAUAUUUUGAUGAGAUUUUUUGUGAGAGAUUAGGUGGAGAACUGAUUUAUCAUAAAAAAAUAUAGAAAGAGGCAUCCUAUAUUUUUUUAUCAUAUUUUUGGAUAUAAAAUUAUGAAGGGAGGUAGAAUAUUGUAAGAGUCCAAGAUCAUUAGGACUCUUCACCCCACCACCUUAUAUG